rnacentral:misc_RNA from 1 species
UCCGGGUUGAACCCGGCGGUCCCGCCAGACGUAGUAACUGGCAGCAGGGGUUGCGCUCGUUGCGGGACUUAACCCAACACCUCACGGCACGAGCUGACGACAGCCGUGCAGCAUCUGUGCACGCUCCCUUACGGGUCAUUCCUGUUUCCAGGUCUUACCACGUGCAUGUCAAGCCCAGGUAAGGUUCUUCGCGUUGCAUCGAAUUAAAGAACAUGCUCCGCUGCUUGUGCGGGCCCCCGUCAAUUCUUUUGAGUUUUAGCCUUGCGGCCGUACUCCCCAGGCGGAACACUUAUCGCGUUGGCUUCGGCACGGACAGAUUCGACUCCGCCCACACCUAGUGUUCAUCGUUUACGGCGUGGACUAC